rnacentral:rRNA from 1 species
GUGGGGAAUAUUGCACAAUGGGCGCAAGCCUGAUGCAGCGACGCCGCGUGGGGGAUGAAGGCCUUCGGGUUGUAAACUCCUUUCGCUAUCGACGAAGCCACUUUGUGGUGACGGUAGGUAGAUAAGAAGCACCGGCUAACUACUUGCCAGCAGCCGCGGUAAUACGUAGGGUGCAAGCGUUGUCCGGAAUUACUGGGCGUAAAGAGCUCGUAGGUGGUUUGUCGCGUCGUCUGUGAAAUCCCGGGGCUUAACUUCGGGCGUGCAGGCGAUACGGGCAUAACUUGAGUGCUGUAGGGGAGACUGGAAUUCCUGGUGUAGCGGUGAAAUGCGCAGAUAUCAGGAGGAACACCAAUGGCGAAGGCAGGUCUCUGGGCAGUUACUGACGCUGAGGAGCGAAAGCAUGGGUAGCGAACAGG